rnacentral:rRNA from 1 species
GCUAUGCAGUCGAGCGGUAACAGGAAGCACUUGCUGCUUUGCUGACGAGGGGGGAGGGGUGAGUAGUGUGGGGGAAGCUGCCUGGUGGGGGGGGAUAACUACGGAAAAGGGUUACUAAUACCGAAUAACGUCACAAGACCAAAGAGGGGGACCUUCGGGCCUCUUGCCGUCGGAUGUGCCCAGAUGGGAUUAGCUAGUAGGGGGGGUAACGGCUCACCUAGGCCACGAUCCCUAUGUGGUCUGAAAGGAUGACCAGCCACACUGGAACUGAGACACGGUCCAACUCCUACGGGAGGCAGCUGUGGGGAAUAUUGCAAAGGGGGCGCGAGCCUGAUGCAGCCAUGCCGCGUGUAUGAAGAAGGUCUUCGGUUUGUAAAGUACUUUCAGCGGAGAGGAAGGAAAUAAAGUUAAUACCUUUGUGCAGUGACCUUACCCGCAAAAAACGCAAACGCAAACUCCGUGCCCGCCGCCGCGGUUAUAGAGAGGGUGCAACGCGUUUAUCAAAUUUACUGGGCGUAAAGCGCACGCACGGGGGCGUUGUGUAAACUCAUAUGUGUAAAUCCCCGGUCUCCUGCUGUGGCAACUGCAUUUGAUACUGGCACAAGUCUUGAGUCUUGUAGAGGGGGGUAAAAUUCCCAGGUGUCGCGGUGAAUAUGCAUAUAGAUCUAGAUGAAAUACGAUGGCGAAGGCGGCCCCCCCUGUACAAAGACUGUCUCUGAUGUGCAAAAGCGUGGGGAGGAAAACAAGAUUAGAUACUCUGCCACUCCACCCCCACAACGAUGUCGAUGUGGUGGUUGUGCUGUUGAGGUGUCGGCUUCCAGAUCUUAACGUCUAAGGCGGACCGCCCUGGGGUGUAGGGCCUCAAGGUUAAAACACAAAUGAAUUCACGAGCGCCCGCACAAGCGGGUAGAGCAUGUGUUUUAUUUUGAUGCAACGCAGAAGAACCUUGCCUGCUCGUCACAUCUCCAGAAUUUUUCAGAGCUUCUUUGGUGCCUUCGGCAACUGUGAGACAGGUGCCGCAUGGCUGUCGUCAGCUUGUGUUGUAAAACGUUGGGUUAAGUUCCGCAACGACCGCAACCCUCACCCUAUGUUGCCUUCUGCUCCGCCGGGAACUCCAAGGAGACUGGAGGAGAUAAACUGGAGGAAGGUUGGGAAGACGUCGGGUCAUCGUCGCCCUUACCUCCAUGGCCACUCACGUGUUACAAUGGCGCAUACAAAGAGAAGCGACCUCGCGAGAGCAAGCGGACCUCAUAAAGUGCGUCGUAGUCCGGAUUGGAGUUUGCAACUCGACUCCAUGAAGUCGGAAUCGCUAGUAAUCGUGGAUCAGAAUGCCACGGUGAAUACGUUCCCGGGCCUUGUACACACCGCCCGUCACACCAUGGGAGUGGGUCAAAAGAAGUAGGUAGGUUACCCUUCGGGAGGCGCUACG